rnacentral:lncRNA from 1 species
GUGCAUAGAACUGAGACAAGGUAAAGAGAAAGGGAAGUCAGUAGGUAGCAAAGAGAGUCAAGUGGACUAUGUACAGACAGGAGUGAUCAGUAAUCCAGGUAGAGUGUGGACACAGAUUAAGCAGUUAAGGGUCAGCAGAGUCAGAACGUAUAGCCAACCCGGGAGUUUUACUCCAGGGGUAUCUGUGUCUCUUCGUAGAGAACGAUGUUAGGCUUUCUUCUUGUUUCCCUGUAUGUUUAGUGUUGUUGGUUUAACAUUCGAGGACGAAUGUUUUUAAAGGAGGGAAGAAUGUAAUACCCGGCUAGUUCAGGCAUCGGAAUUCCUACCGUCCGGUGGAUUCUUGAUGUCGGAGUUGUCUAGAAGGGUAAGAGUGCAGGUUUUCUAAAAUGGGUUUAAGUGUUUUAUGGUUUUGAAAGGAAAG